rnacentral:rRNA from 1 species
ACGUUAGCUGCAGAAGAAGCACCGGCUAACUCCGUGCCAGCAGCCGCGGUAAUACGGAGGGUGCGAGCGUUAAUCGGUAAUUACUGGGCGUAAAGCGCAUGCAGGUGGUUUGUUAAGUCAGAUGUGAAAGCCCGGGGCUCAACCUCGGAAUUGCAUUUGAAACUGGCAAACUAGAGUACUGUAGAGGGGGUAGAAUUUCAGGUGUAGCGGUGAAAUGCGUAGAGAUCUGAAGGAAUACCGGUGGCGAAGGCGGCCCCCUGGACAGAUACUGACACUCAGAUGCGAAAGCGUGGGGAGCAAACAGGAUUAGAUACCCUGGUAG